GAGGGUGUAACUCAGCGGCAGAGCACUUGCCUAGCAUGUAUGAGGCCCUGGGUUCUAUCCCCAGCUCCACUA
rfam:Ictidomys tridecemlineatus contig104304, whole genome shotgun sequence.